UGAGUAACGCGUGGGAAUCUACCUUGAGCUACGGGAUAACAGAGAGAAAUUUCUGCUAAUACCGUAUGUGGCCUUUGGGCGAAAGAUUUAUCGGCUUAAGAUGAGCCCGCGUUGGAUUAGCUGGUUGGUGGGGUAAAGGCCUACCAAGGCGACGAUCCAUAGCUGGUCUGAGAGGAUGAUCAGCCACACUGGGACUGAGACACGGCCCAGACUCCUACGGGAGGCAGCAGUGGGGAAUAUUGGACAAUGGGCGCAAGCCUGAUCCAGCCAUGCCGCGUGAGUGAAGAAGGCCUUAGGGUUGUAAAGCUCUUUCACCGGUGAAGAUAAUGACGGUAGCCGGAGAAGAAGCCCCGGCUAACUUCGUGCCAGCAGCCGCGGUAAUACGAAGGGGGCUAGCGUUGUUCGGAUUUACUGGGCGUAAAGCGCGCGUAGGCGGAUAGAUAAGUCAGANGUGAAAUCCCGGGGCUCAACCCCGGAAUUGCCUUUGAUACUGUUUAUCUUGAGUGCAGAAGAGGUAAGUGGAAUUCCNAGUGUAGAGGUGAAAUUCGUAGAUAUUCNGA
rnacentral:rRNA from 2 species